GACGAACGCUGGCGGCGUGCUUAACACAUGCAAGUCGAACGGAAAGGCCCUGCUUUUGUGGGGUGCUCGAGUGGCGAACGGGUGAGUAACACGUGAGUAACCUGCCCUUGACUUUGGGAUAACUUCAGGAAACUGGGGCUAAUACCGGAUAGGAGCUCCUGCUGCAUGGUGGGGGUUGGAAAUUUUCGGCGGUUGGGGAUGGACUCGCGGCUUAUCAGCUUGUUGGUGGGGUAGUGGCUUACCAAGGCUUUGACGGGUAGCCGGCCUGAGAGGGUGACCGGCCACAUUGGGACUGAGAUACGGCACAGCCUCCUACGGGAGGCAGCAGUGGGGAAUAUUGCACUAUGGGCGGAAGCCUGAUGCAGCAACGCCGCGUGCGGGAUGACGGCCUUCGGGUUGUAAACCGCUUUCGCCUGUGACGAAGCGUGAGUGACGGUAAUGGGUAAAGAAGCACCGGCUAACUACGUG
rnacentral:rRNA from 1 species